rnacentral:rRNA from 1 species
UAGCCUUGACAUACUACAGAAUUUGACAGAGAUGUUGAAGUGCCUUCGGGAGCUGUAAUACAGGUGCUGCACGGCUGUCGUCAGCUCGUGUCGUGAGAUGUUGGGUUAAGUCCCGCAACGAGCGCAACCCUCGUCCUUAGUUACUAACGGUUCGGCCGAGGACUCUAAGGAGACUGCCUUCGUAAGGAGGAGGAAGGUGAGGACGACGUCAAGUCAUCAUGGCCCUUACGGCUAGGGCAACACACGUGCUACAAUGGUUAGGACAAUGAGAAGCGAUACCGCGAGGUGGAGCAAAUCUAUAAACCUAAUCUCAGUUCGGAUAGCAGUCUGCAACUCGACUGCUUGAAGCUGGAAUCACUAGUAAUCGUAGAUCAGAACGCUACGGUGAAUACGUUCCCGGGUCU